CAGCCGCCGCGGGAAUACAAAGGGUGCGAGCGUUAAUCGGAUUUACUGGGCGUAAAGCGUGCGUAGGCGGCUUUUUAAGUCGGAUGUGAAAUCCCUGAGCUUAACUUAGGAAUUGCAUUCGAUACUGGGAAGCUAGAGUAUGGGAGAGGAUGGUAGAAUUCCAGGUGUAGCGGUGAAAUGCGUAGAGAUCUGGAGGAAUACCGAUGGCGAAGGCAGCCAUCUGGCCUAAUACUGACGCUGAGGUACGAAAGCAUGGGGAGCAAACAGGAUUAGAUACCCGCGUAGUCCCUGUCUCUUAUAA
rnacentral:rRNA from 1 species